UGGGGGAGUAUUGCACAAUGGGGGGAACCCUGAUGCAGACGACGCCGCGUGGGUGAAGAAGCGCCUCGGCGCGUAAAGCCCCUGUCAGCAGGGAAGAAAAUGACGGUACCUGAAGAAGAAGCCCCGGCUAACUACGUGCC
rnacentral:rRNA from 1 species